GGCUGCUCUGAAGCUGGUGAGUUAUCUCAACUGAUUGUUCACAGUCAGUUACAGAAAGAACUCCUUGUUAUAUUCCUUCCUCCUUUUCUCAGAACUGCACUUGACUAGUCUUAA
rnacentral:Y_RNA from 1 species